CUGAUGCUACGCAACUGGCGUAAUGAUGGAUAACCAUCGGGGAGCGUAAGGAAGCGUGCUGGCCGUACGCCUGGGCUGACACG
rnacentral:ncRNA from 10 species